UCCUUCCAUGAUGAAUCGCCCCUUCAUCUCACCAUUCAACCUCCAGCGCGUCCCAGGAAAGCUUAAGGC
rnacentral:sRNA from 1 species